CACCCUUGUCUUUUGCGCACUUGUUGUUUCCUGGGCGGGUUCGCCCGCCGCCAGGACCACACCAUAAACCUUUUUUUAUGCAGUUGCAAUCAGCGUCAGUACAACAAAUGUAAAUCAUUUACAACUUUCAACAACGGAUCUCUUGGUUCUGGCAUCGAUGAAGAACGCAGCGAAAUGCGAUACGUAGUGUGAAUUGCAGAAUUCAGUGAAUCAUCGAAUCUUUGAACGCACAUUGCGCCCUUUGGUAUUCCAAAGGGCAUGCCUGUUCGAGCGUCAUUUGUACCCUCAAGCUUUGCUUGGUGUUGGGCGUCUUGUCUUUUGGCUCUUUGCCCAAAGACUCGCCUCAAAACGAUUGGCAGCCGGCCUACUGGUUUCGCAGCGCAGCACAUUUUUGCGCUUGCAAUCAGCAAAAGAGGACGGCACUCCAUCAAGACUCCUUCUCACGUUUGACCUCGGAUCAGGUAGGGAUACCCGCUGAACUUAAGCAUAUCAAUAAGGCGGAGGUCUA
rnacentral:rRNA from 1 species